GCCAGCACACAGAGGGAACACACACACGCAGCUGACUGUUAUCAACAUUGAACAGAGCAGAGCACCAUACCGGUGACAUGUGGCAACACUGGUGACCACAACUGCUGAUCUGCCAGGAUAAAAACCAGGGGCCCAGUUCCCAACUCUGCAGAUUCCCAACUGCUUUGACCCACUGAACCACACACUGGGCUCAUAUCUAAAAAGGUUUCCACCUUUGGCUCCCAGACACAACAAAGCAUCAUGAAAGUUUAAUACCUUCAAAGUAUUUGCAUGGACCUAUAUUAAAAUCUAUUUUGGUUUAA